GGGCCCGUAGUCUAGCUUGGCUAGGAUGCGGGGUACAAUCCCCGUGAUCCCGGGUUCGAAUCCCGGCGGGCCC
rnacentral:tRNA from 1 species